rnacentral:rRNA from 1 species
AUGAAGGUCUUAGGAUCGUAAAGCACUUUCGCCAGGGAUGAUAAUGACAGUACCUGGUAAAGAAACCCCGGCUAACUCCGUGCCAGCAGCCGCGGUAAUACGGAGGGGGUUAGCGUUGUUCGGAAUUACUGGGCGUAAAGCGUACGUAGGCGGAUCGGAAAGUUGGGGGUGAAAUCCCGGGGCUCAACCCUGGAACUGCCUCCAAAACUCUUGGUCUUGAGUUCGAGAGAGGUGAGUGGAAUUCCAAGUGUAGAGGUGAAAUUCGUAGAUAUUUGGAGGAACACCAGUGGCGAAGGCGGCUCACUGGCUCGAUACUGACGCUGAGGUACGAAAGUGUGGGGAGCAAACAGGAUUAGAUACCCUGGUAGUCCACACCGUAAACGAUGAAUGCCAGUCGUCGGGCAGUAUACUGUUCGGUGACACACCUAACGGAUUAAGCAUUCCGCCUGGGGAGUACGGUCGCAAGAUUAAAACUCAAAGG